GUGAUGAAUUCUGCCAUGUGGCACCAGACUGCCACCCAGACCACAGUGUCCUCUGCAACCCUGGUAACUCACAUACAGGCCCGAUUCCACCUACAGCAAAGCUGGAUGCGAUGGCUGGCAGAGGCAAACCCUUUGCCUGCACUUCAGGCCAAAGCCGGGAUGUGGCCUAGAUGGUUCCUAAGCUUCUCAGAUGACCAAGAUGGUGCUGCAGAUGGUGCUGAGGAUGGAGAACCCACCAAGCCCCGCUAGGAGCCACCUAGACUGGAUGCAGAGCAUGGACAAUUUGCUGAGGUCUGGGAGCACCCCCUCCAGAGAGUCCCUGAUCUCUCAAAACUUGGUCGUGAUCUAAAGUUUAUUUGAUGUACAACUCCCCCUCCCCUUCUUUUGGAGUUUUAUUUGCUUCCAAGAAGGAAGGCAAGAUUUCCUGGGUCCGUGAUGAUGGAAGGCUGACAACUCUUUUAUGGAGUUUGAGCUUGCUCCCAGCAGGGAAGACAAGUUCGAGUUUUUUUCCUGCUUCAAGGAUGGUAGAGAGCAGUCUUCAGCCUGAGACCCAUCCCUAG
ensembl:lncRNA MUC20-OT1 MUC20 overlapping transcript